GGAGAGAUGAGCCUGGCUUCAGGCCUGAGUUCCUGCCUCUCACCUUCCUGACCAAAAUUCUGUUGGAUGUGGAAGACCGAGCUCUGAACCCUUUUGAGGAGCAGGAGAAUGUGGAUGCCAGGUUUGUGGAGGAGACGGCUCUGAAACAGACUCUGAUCCUGCUGGGCUUCCAGGACAAGUGAUGGAGGGAGGGACCGAGGUGAAGGGAGGUGAAGAAAGAGGGGGAGCAGGUCAAGGCUCCAAGUUUUCACUCAACACUCCAUAUUCCACUAGUACUCAGUGAGCGGGGACUGUGUCAGAGUUCGGGGACUGUUUGAAAUGACACUUUAAAUGUUGAUCACUCAAUAUUCCAAUACAUGAGAAUCUAUGAAAAUACAUCAGAUUCUGAUGAACGAUGGGUCUGGUGUCUGCUAAAUGACUUAAAUGUAAAAUGUAAAUGGUGACAAUAGUCAUCGGUUAAGCAUUAAUUUGACAGAUUUAUAUUUCUGCCCUCUCUGCCUGUUGCUCAACCCUCCCACUCAGACCAGAUGGAUGAGGCUCUUACAGUAAGAAGGGAAGUUCUCUGGAAGGUGUCUGAAUUUCCACAACAUGUGUCCUGUACGAUGCCGGUAUAUUUCCAUUUCAGAGGAACUGAAGCAUGGUUAGAUUUCAGGAAUAACACCGUUGUGUGGAAUACAGGAAAUGUGUUGAUCAGGUACAAUAAUAAACAGGAAAAGGGAUUUUUGUCGUCAUGUUUACACGUGUAAAAGCCAUAUUGUAUCAAUGAAACACGAAAUAAAAUAUUUGUUGCAUGUUUCUAACAA